GGAGGGGUAGCUCAGUGGUAGAGUGCCUGCUUAGCAUGCACAACGUCCUGGGUUCAAUCCCCAGUGCCUCCA
rnacentral:tRNA from 1 species